rnacentral:lncRNA from 1 species
CAGAGGACAAAAAGUUUUGGACCCCCCUGAUCGACGGUCUUCUUCUUCAUAGAAGAAACAACCAAAAUUCAAUGGCUUCUUCUGAAGCGAAAACCCCUAAACGCUGACACCCCAAAUGACCCCUGACUUCACCUUCUUCAACCAUCAACACAUCCACCGUCAACACCCCUCCUAGCCGCACCAGCCCUCAACGUCGACGACUUCUUCAACGCCAACCAGCGACUCCUCUCCAUGCCGCUGCUCUCUUCCCUCUUUUUAGAAAAGAACGAAAAACACACACACACAGAGUCAUAAACAGAGGUACACGGACAGAAAAUCGGAGGUAUUUUUGUACAUAAAUUAGGAAGAAAUCGGGGAAAGUUCCGAAGAGUUCAUAAAAAUCCCUGCAAAUUCAGUCCUUUUAAUGUCAUUUUUGCUUCUCAAAUCUGAAAAGAACAUACACUCUAGCUUCUGAUUUUGAUCUUCUCUUAUGGAAUCUGAUGGAGUCGAGGGGAGUUCGAUUAGGUUUUGUUCGCGGUUCCGAAUUCAAUGGUUGAUUGUUCCAUUCAGUAGAUAUGGAGCUUGUUGCUUGAUCUCCUUGCUAGUAUCACAUCCGGACAGAAGCUUAAUUGAAAACAACCCUCCGAUUUUGUGGACUUUCUUCUCUGGUCAAUGUUAUUGUUUAUCGUGAGAAUGAGAUAAAAGCUAGUUACAAUGGAAAUGAGUUCUUGGAAAGAGCAGCAGCAGGUGGUCUGGUGGAGCUAUUGCAAUGAAUGUUGAUGCUACUGCUGUGUUGCACAAGAAAACAGGAUUUGAACUUUAUUCGAAGUUGUUGUUAGUGGUGGUGUCGUUCGAGCAUUGUGGUCGCGGUUCCGUCCGAAUUUGAUUGCCAUUUCGAGUUUAGUCGUAGCUUUGCUUCAUUUCUUAUUCGGGUAAUCGUUAGAGGUUUGAAUACAUUGGAAAGCAGUCU